rnacentral:rRNA from 1 species
CCUACGGGAGGCAGCAGUGGGGAAUUUUGGACAAUGGGCGAAAGCCUGAUCCAGCAAUGCCGCGUGAGUGAAGAAGGCCUUCGGGUUGUAAAGCUCUUUUGUCAGGGAAGAAACGGUGAGAGCUAAUAUCUCUUGCUAAUGACGGUACCUGAAGAAUAAGCACCGGCUAACUACGUGCCAGCAGCCGCGGUAAUACGUAGGGUGCAAGCGUUAAUCGGAAUUACUGGGCGUAAAGCGUGCGCAGGCGGUUUUGUAAGUCUGAUGUGAAAUCCCCGGGCUCAACCUGGGAAUUGCAUUGGAGACUGCAAGGCUAGAAUCUGGCAGAGGGGGGUAGAAUUCCACGUGUAGCAGUGAAAUGCGUAGAUAUGUGGAGGAACACCGAUGGCGAAGGCAGCCCCCUGGGUCAAGAUUGACGCUCAUGCACGAAAGCGUGGGGAGCAAACAGGAUUAGAUACCCUGGUAGUCCACGCCCUAAACGAUGUCUACUAGUUGUCGGGUCUUAAUUGACUUGGUAACGCAGCUAACGCGUGAAGUAGACCGCCUGGGGAGUACGGUCGCAAGAUUAAAACGUCAAAGGAAUUGACCGGNUGAGAGNGCGAGGACGACGACGAGGGAGGAGG